rnacentral:misc_RNA from 1 species
GGAGCCGGACAACCUAUACAACAGACAACACUGCGCCCUGAUGGACAGUUCCCGCUCCUACCAGUGGACCGAUGAGGACUGCGAGGAAAGCCGGAACUUUAUCUGUCAAAUCGAAAGAAAUAGCGAAUGAAUUCACGUAAUUUUAUUGAAGCGUUAAUUUAUUACAAUAUGUUUACACGUAUUUUCUCGUCUUUCCUUCUUUGGAUUUUUAGCUCACCUGAGCUAAAGGGUCAUGCGAGCCUUGUUUACCGUAGUCGACUUUAUUUGUGUCGUUUUAACUUGACCAAAUUCAACUUAACUUUACACAAAGCAUUAAAUUGUUCAAUAAAGUUCAAGUUUUGGGAAAUG